rnacentral:lncRNA from 1 species
UCACAACUUAUAAUUUUAUUAUAAUUUUUUUUUGUCAACUUGAAUUUUCAUUUCUGAAAAAGCCCAAAGGGCAUGAUACAGAGGAAAGAUAAAGCCCAUCCCGUUCCCAUUUACAACUUUGAUUAAAGAUAACCAUGCUUAAUCUACUCCUAAGCAAGAGAAAGAUUAAGAACAUUAUUAAAGUGCCACAUGUGGACACGUACAAGACACGCGUCACACUGUGAGACAACGGGACAUGCAAACGAAUCGGCGUCGGAAAACCCACGAUCCUCCUUAGCACCUUCGCCAGACUUUUUCUUCAACUCCAUAUCUUACGAAGCAUCUCCAUGUUCGCCUUCUUCACUCGCCUUCCGUCUUCCUUCAUCUCCGGCUGAAGCGCAUCCACGUCCUCGACCACCAUGGUCGAAGAUCUUCUGCCGCCCACUAAGGACUGCGGCUAAGCAGACGCGACAUUACUCAGACCAAGGUCGAUGAUUCCGACGUCAGUGAGUUCGGUUGGUAUGUAGAUAAAUCCAGAAGAGCUUCAUCUGUAAACCAAAGUCCGAUCAUGUCGGAAUAUUUAUUUAAUC